rnacentral:rRNA from 1 species
GCAGUUCGAGCGGCAGCGGGAAGUAGCUUGCUACUUUGCCGGCGAGCGGCGGACGGGUGAGUAAUGUCUGGGAAACUGCCUGAUGGAGGGGGAUAACUACUGGAAACGGUAGCUAAUACCGCAUGACCUCGCAAGAGCAAAGUGGGGGACCCUCGGGCCUCACGCCAUCGGAUGUGCCCAGAUGGGAUUAGCUAGUAGGUGAGGUAAUGGCUCACCUAGGCGACGAUCCCUAGCUGGUCUGAGAGGAUGACCAGCCACACUGGAACUGAGACACGGUCCAGACUCCUACGGGAGGCAGCAGUGGGGAAUAUUGCACAAUGGGCGCAAGCCUGAUGCAGCCAUGCCGCGUGUGUGAAGAAGGCCUUCGGGUUGUAAAGCACUUUCAGCGAGGAGGAAGGCAUUAAGGUUAAUAACCUUAGUGAUUGACGUUACUCGCAGAAGAAGCACCGGCUAACUCCGUGCCAGCAGCCGCGGUAAUACGGAGGGUGCAAGCGUUAAUCGGAAUUACUGGGCGUAAAGCGCACGCAGGCGGUUUGUUAAGUCAGAUGUGAAAUCCCCGAGCUUAACUUGAGAACUGCAUUUGAAACUGGCAAGCUAGAGUCUUGU